rnacentral:rRNA from 1 species
GACGAACGCUGGCGGCGUGCUUAACACAUGCAAGUCGAACGGAAAGGCCCUGCUUUUGUGGGGUGCUCGAGGGGCGAACGGGUGAGUAACACGUGAGUAACCUGCCCUUGACUUUGGGAUAACUUCAGGAAACUGGGUCUAAUACCGGAUAGGAGCUCCUGCUGCAUGGUGGGGGUUGGAAAGUUUCGGCGGUUGGGGAUGGACUCGCGGCUUAUCAGCUUGUUGGUGGGGUAGUGGCUUACCAAGGCUUUGACGGGUAGCCGGCCUGAGAGGGUGACCGGCCACAUUGGGACUGAGAUACGGCCCAGACUCCUACGGGAGGCAGCAGUGGGGAAUAUUGCACAAUGGGCGGAAGCCUGAUGCAGCAACGCCGCGUGCGGGAUGACGGCCUUCGGGUUGUAAACCGCUUUCGCCUGUGACGAAGCGUGAGUGACGGUAAUGGGUAAAGAAGCACCGGCUAACUACGUG